AAUAAAUCUCACAAAAAUAAAUCCACUCUACUUCUUUUUCUUUUUCCCCUUUUUCUUUUUUCCCUUUUUAAGGCUUACCUUUGGU
rnacentral:ribozyme from 15 species